rnacentral:lncRNA from 1 species
AAGGUCCCUGGGGACCUAGGAUGGAAGCAGAGAUGAUCAUAGCAUUGGCUGUCUCUUGGAGCUGAGAAGUGUGGGAUGAGGAGGAGGAUACAUCUUUUGGGUAAGGAACAUUCUAUUAACAAGAAGAUGGAGUGAGGAGAGCAAUUUUUGGAAGAUAGAAGAAAAUGAGAAGGGGAAUAUUUUUCACAUGGAAAAGAAGGCACAUCUGUCAGGAAAUAGGGAGUGAAAUGCAAGGGGCUGCCGUACCUUAUCCUUUUCUUCCCCACACCUGCUUGAGAUUGGAAGAUAAAAGAGACGGUGGAACAGAAGAGAGAAAGAAGAAAUACUGUCUUAGUUUUGUUUCUGUUGGUUGAGAUGAAAUGAGUUUCAUGGCUCCAGCUGAAGAUGUUG